rnacentral:lncRNA from 1 species
CAUGUUCUAUUACUGUGAGCUGUUCUGAGCGAACAUGCCCUCUAAUAUUAAGGAAAUUCCCGUGAGAAAACGGGUUAGUUGCAAGACUUUAAUAUAGUUCUCGAACCCAUGCGUAAUAGAGCACAGCCUAGGGGACCUCAAAAUAGAUUUCUCGAGUCCGACAAGAAAGGGUUGGGUUUCCGUCGCCUCUUCCGGCUUCCUCCUUGUCGCCUUCUCCUUCGCUUCUUCUUCUCCAAUCCAUGGCGACCGCCGUUGCUCCCAAAUUGGAGUCCUCUCAAAGGCUUAGGAGUUUCUUUCGUCUUGGAAGCAGGUAACUAUCAAACCCUAGUUCUUGUCAGUUCCACUCUACGUCUAUAUCUCCUUCGGGACAUCCGAUAAAAUUGGAACGACACUCUACGUCCAUUCGAUCUCGUUGCCAUUUUCUUCCUCAAUCUAGGG